rnacentral:rRNA from 1 species
UUUCCGGUUGAUCCUGCCGGACCUCACUGCUAUCGGGGUGGGACUAAGACAUGCAAGUCGUACGCCUCCCAGCCGCCGGGGGAGGCGUGGCGCACGGCUCCGUAACACGUGGCUAACCUACCCUUGGGACGGGGAUAACCCCGGGAAACUGGGGCUAAUCCCCGAUAGGCGAGGAUGCCUGGAAUGGUUCCUCGCCGAAAGGGCGCCGGAACCGUGCUUCCGGUGUCGCCCAAGGAUGGGGCCGCGGCCGAUCAGGUUGUUGGUGGGGUAACGGCCCACCAAGCCGAUAACCGGUACGGGCCGUGAGAGCGGGAGCCCGGAGAUGGGCACUGAGAUAAGGGCCCAGGCCCUACGGGGCGCAGCAGUCGCGAAACCUCCGCAAUGCGCGAAAGCGCGACGGGGCCACCCCGAGUGCCGCCCGCUGAGGGCGGCUUUUCCCCGGUGUAGAUAGCCGGGGGAAUAAGGGGAGGGCAAGUCUGGUGUCAGCCGCCGCGGUAAUACCAGCUCCCCGAGUGGUGGGGACGAUUAUUGGGCCUAAAGCGUCCGUAGCCGGCCCGGCGAGUCUCCCGUUAAAUCCAGCGAUCUAAUCGCUGGACUGCGGGAGAUACUGUCGGGCUAGGGGGCGGGAGAGGCCGGCGGUAUUCCCGGGGUAGGGGUGAAAUCCUAUAAUCCCGGGAGGACCACCAGUGGCGAAGGCUGCCGGCUGGAACGCGCCCGACGGUGAGGGACGAAAGCCGGGGGAGCGAACCGGAUUAGAUACCCGGGUAGUCCCGGCUGUAAACGAUGCGGGCUAGGUGUUGGCACGGCUACGAGCCGUGCCAGUGCCGCAGGGAAGCCGUUAAGCCCGCCGCCUGGGGAGUACGGCCGCAAGGCUGAAACUUAA